GUCCUAAUCAGUUCUAAAGUGCCCAUUCCUGUGCCUUCUAUGCUUGAGAAGACUUAAAAAAUCCACAUGGAGACUUGUGUGAGGCGUCCGUGGGGGGAGUGGUUUUCGGUCUUGGCAAGCAACUCAGAUGAAACUGUUGGAGGGGGUCACGUGAUUGCUGGCUGACUCCGCAGCUCCACGGGGCAACCUGAGGGUUUGACCCAGUCCCCAUCCCCUGUCUUUGGGAUGGGAGUUCCGCUGGCUUUUCCAGAGCUGGAAGCUGCCUCACUCCUUUGGGAGAGUAGGUGUUGUCGAGAUCACCUGGAUGGUACAUUUGACUGAAUCCUGUAAAGUCCUCUACAGAAACUUAUAAGAUUUCGGCAGAUCCAAAGUAAUAAACUCAAAGACAUCAUCUGAUUUGGAUUUUGAAGUGAAAUUCCUCUGUCUGAUUCGCCUGCAGAUGAGAUGAUGCACAUUAAAACGGAGUUCUGUGUCCAUGGUCCUCUGAGCACUGGAGACCAUGACUGGGGACAGGCCCUGCCCAUCCUGGGACAUCGAGCUGCUGUCCAAGGCAUUCCGGAAUGGAGCA
rnacentral:lncRNA from 1 species